AGCCUCCUCCCAGAAGGUAACAAGGAAAACAGAUUGUGAAGAGGAGAUAUAGUGCCCCAGACAAUCCUGCGGACUCUGCUCAAGCAUCACUUAUAUGCUAUGUCUUGGAUAGAAGGAAGUGAACUACCAAUUAUCUUUUCUGGAAUCCUCACCACUCUCUACACUGCCUUCCUGUCUGAAGCAGUAAUGCUUCCAAACCAGGCAGUAAUGCAAUAUGACAGGAUGCUCUCAAUUGUCCCUAUAUAGAAAGUGGUAAGGACAGAGGAAGAUGAACUUUUCUCACGCGAUGCAGAAAAUGCAGGCACUGCUAUGCCUGCUUCACCAGUGUCUCACUGUUGAGUGACCAAGCUAGUCUACUCAUUAGCUGCACACCCAGAAACUUGAUGCGGCUAACCACCUCCACAGGUCAAUCAUUUAUACAUAAAGGUUUGUGGCUGUUGCCUGCCUUUUUUGAAAUUGACAAUGACCUCUUUAGUUUUUCCUACAUUUAAAAUGAGGCUGUUUUUGUUACACUAGUUCACUAAACCCCCACCUCCUUGUAGUAAGCAUCCUCAUUGUCAUCUUGAAUAAGGCCCACUACUGUUGUAUCAUUCGCAUAAUUCACAAUAUGGUUGGUGGUAAACCUAGCACAGCAGUCAUAGGUCAACAGAGUGAACAAUAGUGGACUUAGGACACAGCCCUAGGAGAACAUGUGCUCAAGAAAAUGGUGUUAGAUAUAUUAAUCCCAACUCGCACAUACUGGGGCUUAUCAAUAAGAACGUCAAGAAUCCAGUUGCACAAAGGAGUAUUAAAGCCUAAAAAGCCCAGUUUGUCUACAAAAUGCUGAGAGAUGAUUGUAUUAAAUGCUGAAGUCAACAAACAGCAUUUGCAUGAGUGUUUCUUUCCUCUAAGUGUGCCAAGCUCAGAUGGAGAACAGAAGAAAUAACAUCUUCUUAGAGCAAUUUGGAGGGUAAGCAAACUGAAGCGAGUCAAAUGUUGGAGGGAGACUGGAUACAAUAAUGUCCUUCAUCAGUUUCUCAAAACAUUUGAUUAUGAUGGAUGUAAGUGCAACUGGAUGGUAAUUAUUGAGAUCCGUAAUUGUAGACUUUUUUGGCACUGGCAAAAUAAUGGCCAUCUUAAAACAUGAUAGGACAGAGUGUAUUUACAAAGAACAUUCAGAGCCUCAUCUCUGCACAAGGAGGAAUAUAGCCAGCUGUAAUAAUGAUAACAGAACAUUUCCUAGACAGAUAGAACGAUCUGUAUUUGGCAGUCAAAAGCAUCAGGGGAGCACAAACUUGAGACCACACUGACAUUACACCAUCUGUCAUUUAUAUAAAAAGAAAACACCCCCCCCCCCCCCCAAAUGGGAUUUACCGCUAAGAGCCAAACUGUGGUCCAGCCGAAAUGUUGAGAAUCCCACCAAGCUAACAACACUAUCUGGGACAGAGAGCUUUAACCAAAUUUCUGUUGCAAUGACGACACAGCAGUUUCUCAUCCCCAGGUUUGUUAUUAAACCUAGCCUCAUGUGAUCCAUUUUUGGCUCUAAGGAAUGGGCAUUAGCAAACAAAAUAGAUGGCAGUGACAUACUCUAUGGUUUAGCUUUUUAGCCUAGUUGUUAGUCCUCUACAUUCAUCCCAUUUCCUCUUUUAGUCAUAUCAUCUCCUCUUCUGAUGACAGUAAGCGCUGGAGGGAGACUUCCCACCUGCAAUGGCUUCCACCACUACCCCGCCUCUGCUGCCCAAAAUGCAGAGGACAACGUUUAUGAAGAAAACCCAAAUACCUCAAUGCAUCCUGGUCAUUUGCUAGGAGUUUAAAAUAUUAUUUGCUCUGGCCCUGAUCCCACCAGAACAGUGCACAACCCCCACCCCUUGCCUUCCAGGAAGCCUUAAAGUCCUGGCCUUCCCCACAAAUGUUGGGGAUAGGAUGAGCCCAAGGAAGAUGUCGACAUGUGCAGGAGAGGGCUGC